rnacentral:lncRNA from 1 species
AAAUUCUGCCAGUUAACAGGAUAGUGGUGGAGAACUGACUUAGUUGUUAUGAACACCUUCAACACAGAUUUGAGAAGUCUCUGAUAGGGUGAGCUUGAGUUUGUGUUGUCAUUCCACAAUAUGUGAUACGGAAAAACCUAAAAUUACAUGCAUGAAAGUGUACGAAAAACUGGUGGUGACAUCAAAUCUAAAAACCCCUCGAAGAAAUGGAUUCCAGAGCAGGAUUCAUAAAAUUGAUUGCAAUAUUUGGGAUAAGGGUUCUUGUUUAUAGUUUUUGAAACUUGUGGGUUGAUGGGAGUCUAUAA